GAUGAACGCUGGCGGCGUGCCUAAUACAUGCAAGUCGAGCGAACGGACGAGAAGCUUGCUUCUCUGAUGUUAGCGGCGGACGGGUGAGUAACACGUGGAUAACCUACCUAUAAGACUGGGAUAACUUCGGGAAACCGGAGCUAAUACCGGAUAAUAUUUUGAACCGCAUGGUUCAAUAGUGAAAGACGGUCUUGCUGUCACUUAUAGAUGGAUCCGCGCUGCAUUAGCUAGUUGGUAAGGUAACGGCUUACCAAGGCAACGAUGCAUAGCCGACCUGAGAGGGUGAUCGGCCACACUGGAACUGAGACGCGGUCCAGACUCCUACGGGAGGCAGCAGUAGGGAAUCUUCCGCAAUGGGCGGAAGCCUGACGGAGCAACGCCGCGUGAGUGAUGAAGGUCUUCGGAUCGUAAAACUCUGUUAUUAGUGAAGAACAUAUGUGUAAGUAACUGUGCACAUCUUGACGGUACCUAAUCAGAAAGCCACGGCUAACUACGUG
rnacentral:rRNA from 1 species